AGAGCUGCCCAGCUGAAGGACUGCCUCUCUGCUCUGCUGAUUCUGCAGCUGAAUGCUGCCACCUGGGUCCUAGUAUCAAUUGUGAUCCCCUUCUGUGUGCUGGGAGCCUUCCUGUUUUCUGUGCACAAGAUCAAGAACAGCUGGAAGAUCUCUGAGAGAUACCACCACAGCUACUUACCUGAGAAGUGAUCCUGAGCCUGAUCCAGUAGUCAUCAAAGGUCCAAGUCCCUCCUGCACCACUUGUCAUUCCCAAGCUCAUUGAAUGUCCACAUACAAAUCACAAUUGUCAUAAAGCUUUGACACUUUGGAGUUGCUGGUAGCAGGACUGGCGAGGAUCUGUGGUGGUGCUUUCCAUAAGUGUUGGACAUUGUACUCCUACUCUUAUCACCCACUCUACGUGUCCUGUAGGUGAUGCUAACUCCAAACUUACAGACAAAAAGAAGAAAGCAUAAAUAAAAUGAAAAGAUGCUAUCAAGGAAGGUAGAAGAGGAAGAACCCCUCCCCUCCAAAAUCCUGGUGGGAGAGAGCAGGAGAGGAGACUUUUCAUCCUCCAGAUAGGAUGGGGAGUUGAGUAGACAGAAGGAGAUUCUCGGCUGGCAAGAGCAGCUGCUUCCUAGCCGGUGCAGUGUUUUAAAGGCUGAGCCUGCAGGUCUGCUCCAGCUCUGUACAUGCAAGAGGGAGGGGAGGCAGCACAGGCUGCUCCAAUGGCUUUCCCUCUCAGCAGACUAGAGCAGUUCUGAUUGGCUGCUUUUCCCCAACUGGUGCGGGAAUUUGCAAGGGCAGCCAGUCAACGGGGGAUUCCCAUGCAAACGAUAGCAUUUUCGCCAUAGACCCAACAUGGACUCAGGAAACUUGGUAAAUUUGUUAAUUUCUUGAAACUAUUUCUGGUUGAAUAGAAUAUUUUCACUCAGGGAGGUAACUGAGAGCAGUUAUGGCUUCCAUGAGAUUGGAAAGUCACUGAACGUGUGAGCCACAUUUGCAAGGAGAUUUAGAGAAUGGAUAUUUUUAGAAUGAAAGCACAAAGAUCUCUUGGGUUUCCUGUUUCAUAUACAUUUCAGCAAGCCAUGUUGUCAUGAAAAGCAGAGAUAUGGCUAGUCCUUAUAUGUUUUCUUCAAGCUGUUGACCCCAUUAAACCUAUUAGCAUUAUUGCACAAACAAUACCCCCGAUAUAUAAAGACCAGUGAGACUGUUGUUAAGUGUAAAGAUUAUUGAUUAGAUUCUGCUCCCAUCUAAUAGAAGUAUUCUAGACUUACACCAGUGAACAGAAUUUGGCUUUAUAACAAUGGGGAAAAUACACUUCAUAUUUAAUUCAAAUCCUUCCAAACAUUAAACACGAAAAUGUGUACCAUGAAUCUGCAAUAUUAAAAAUAGAGCUAUUAAGAUCUUCUACUGAUUAUGCAGUUGUAAGAUCAUGAGACCUAAACAAAUGAACUCAUCUUUAUCCCAAAGUGUGUGUUUAAAGGACUUCUCACACACAAGAUAUGUUAACUAUAAACAAGAGUAACAUAAUUACAAGAGUCAAAAUAUCUCUCUCUGGCAUUUGGUCAAUAUCACCUUAAAUAUUCUGGUGUAUGUGUAGGAGUGGUAGGGAAGUGAGCCAAAUUUGCUACGAUUCACAUCCUUUCCUUACAUGUUUUUGAAUUGAUCAUCAUUCUUCUCCUGAAGCAGUUUCUCAAGUGGUCCCUCACUACAUGUGGAAGUUUUGACAUGUGGAAUGAUCUACUUGCAUCCCUUAGGGGAUGACAUCCAACCCAUUUGUUAGAUUAUUUUGCUAGGGUAUGACAUUCUGAACAGGGAAGUGAGCAUCACAUGUAGACAGGACUACAUCAGAAGCUGUACAUCUAUCUAGUAUAUCCAUGGUAUUUAUAUUAUACCAGUCAACCAUGUGCAUACUCUAGGAAUGGAAAAUAAAAGUGCCAGCUACUCAGCUGGUGUAAAUCAGCUUCAUUACGUUCUUUUGCAGUAUUUCUUGGAAUCUGAAGCUCCUAAUUGCUGUCCGCAGGCCCUUUGCAUAACCUGCUUGAUGUGAAGUGCACAUUCUGCCAAACAUUGUACCUUGCAACAAAAUAGCUCAAAUUCUACACUGGCUUCUUUUUUCGGUCUAUUUUUGCAAAAGCAGCUGCAGGGGCCUCAACUGAAACAGAAAUACAGAAAAGUCAAAACAUGCAGAUGAAAAAAUUAGAAAAUAUGGGUGUGUUGUAUGCUUUUGGGAAAAUGUAGAUGGUGUAUAAAAUUAUUCAGCCUUUUCAAUAUAAAAAAUUGCUCCGAGUCGUGUAUACCAAUCACAAAAGUGUAUCGUGGCCCUAAAACUGUAUUAGGAGGGAUCAUACACUAACAUAUGGGAGUACCCAUUAACCUUUGUUGUUCUAUCUCAAACUUAUAACCAUUUCUGAUGUAAUGGAUAUCUAGUUUUUAUCGGUCUAUAUUAUACUAUUAUA